rnacentral:lncRNA from 1 species
UUGAUCGGUUGGUGCAGACGGGACUGAGCUGAGGCUAGGGUUCUACGAUGUCUUUUGCUUCCGCUAAUGACUAGCUUGUCACCUCGUUCUCCAUCCCCUAAAUUGAAACUUCUAUUAUGUGGUACAAUAUUAUCUUGUUGGGCUUAGACUCUUAACCCAUAUUUCUAUUAGUGAAGCUAUCAAUGAUUAUAAUCAGAGUCACGAAACUAAACCUAUGCGAUC